rnacentral:rRNA from 1 species
GACAGAGGAUGCAAGCGUUAUCCGGAAUGAUUGGGCGUAAAGGGUCCGUAGGCGGUUUAGUAAGUCAGUGGUGAAAGCCCAUCGCUCAACGGUGGAACGGCCAUUGAUACUGCUGAACUUGAAUUACUGGGAAGUAACUAGAAUAUGUAGUGUAGCGGUGAAAUGCUUAGAUAUUACAUGGAAUACCAAUUGCGAAGGCAGGUUACUACCAGUUUAUUGACGCUGAUGGACGAAAGCGUGGGGAGCGAACAGG